AGUGAACGCUGGCGGUAGGCCUAACACAUGCAAGUCGAACGGCAGCACAGUAAGAGCUUGCUCUUACGGGUGGCGAGUGGCGGACGGGUGAGGAAUACAUCGGAAUCUACUUUUUCGUGGGGGAUAACGUAGGGAAACUUACGCUAAUACCGCAUACGACCUACGGGUGAAAGCAGGGGAUCUUCGGACCUUGCGCGAUUGAAUGAGCCGAUGUCGGAUUAGCUAGUUGGCGGGGUAAAGGCCCACCAAGGCGACGAUCCGUAGCUGGUCUGAGAGGAUGACCAGCACAAUGGGACCGGAGACAGGGUCAGACUCCUACGGGAGGCAGCAGUGGGGAAUAUUGGACAAUGGGCGCAAGCCUGAUCCAGCCAUACCGCGUGGGUGAAGAAGGCCUUCGGGUUGUAAAGCCCUUUUGUUGGGAAAGAAAAGCAGCAGGUUAAUACCCCGCUGUUCUGACGGUACCCAAAGAAUAAGCACCGGCUAACCUCGUG
rnacentral:rRNA from 1 species